rnacentral:rRNA from 1 species
UACGGGGGGGGCAAGCGUUGUUCGGAAUUACUGGGCGUAAAGGGCUCGUAGGCGGCCAACUAAGUCGGAUGUGAAAUCCCCCGGCUUAACCUGGGAACUGCGUCUGAUACUGGGAGGCUUGAGUAUGGGAGAGGGAUGUAGAAUUCCAGGCGUAGCGGUGAAAUGCGUAGAUAUCUGGAGGAGUACCGGUGGCGAAGGCGGCAUCCUGGACCAUUACUGACGCUGAGGCGCGAAAGCUAGGGGAGCAAACGGG